AGCAGCCGCGGUAAUUCCAGCUCCAAUAGCGUAUAUUAAAGUUGCUGCAGUUAAAAAGCUCGUAGUUGAAUUUCGGGAUCAGUACGCCGGUCGUGCCUCCGGUAUGUACUGGUGUUACUGGUUCCUACCUUCUGACGAACCGUCAUGUCAUUAAUUUGGUGUGGCGGGGAAUCAGGACUGUUACUUUGAAAAAAUUAGAGUGUUUAAAGCAGGCUCGCGCUUGAAUACAUUAGCAUGGAAUAAUGAAAUAGGACGUUCGAUCCUAUUUUGUUGGUUUCUAGGAUUGACGUAAUGAUUAAUAGGGAUAGUUGGGGGCAUUAGUAUUCAAUUGUCAGAGGUGAAAUUCUUGGAUUUAUUGAAGACUAACUACUGCGAAAGCAUUUGCCAAGGAUGUUUUCAUUAAUCAAGAACGAAAGUUAGGGGAUCGAAGACGAUCAGAUACCGUCGUAGUCUUAACCAUAAACUAUGCCGACUAGGGAUCGGAUGGUGUUAAUUUUUAAUGACUCAUUCGGCGCCUUAC
rnacentral:rRNA from 1 species